rnacentral:rRNA from 1 species
UAAGGAAUAUUGGACAAUGGACGCAAGUCUGAUCCAGCCAUGCCGCGCGAAGGAUGAAUGCCCUCUGGGUUGUAAACUUCUUUUAUAGGGGAAGAAAGAUACUUUUUUUAAGGUAGUUGACGGUACCCUAUGAAUAAGCACCGGCUAACUCCGUGCCAGCAGCCGCGGUAAUACGGAGGGUGCAAGCGUUAUCCGGAUUUACUGGGUUUAAAGGGUGCGUAGGCGGGCAUGUAAGUCAGUGGUGAAAUACCGGAGCUUAACUUCAGAACUGCCAUUGAUACUAUAUGUCUUGAAUAUUGUGGAGGUAAGCGGAAUAUGUCAUGUAGCGGUGAAAUGCAUAGAUAUGACAUAGAACACCGAUUGCGGAGGCAGCUUGCUACGCAAAUAUUGACGCUAAGGCACGAAAGCGUGGGGAUCAAACA